UUUCCGUAGGUGAACCUGCGGAAGGAUCAUUAUUGUAUAACCGAGGUGCGAGGGCUGUCGCUGACCCGAAAGGUCGUGCACGCCCGACUGCCCUCACACACAUCCAUCUCACCCCUAUGUGCACCACCGCGUGGGUCCCCCUUUGGCUUGUUCGGAGGGGGGCUUACGUUUUCACACAAACUUUGUAUGCAGUGUAGAAUGUAUUUUUUGUUUUUGCGAUCACGCAAUCAAUACAACUUUCAACAACGGAUCUCUUGGCUCUC
rnacentral:misc_RNA from 1 species